AUGCUAUUGUUGUUGUCUGCCUGGCACUUUAGGCUGCUGUGUGAGGGGACGUUUUAUAGGCUCAACAUUUACAUGCUGUGCAAGACUUCAGACUGUCCCUCUUCCAACCACGUUCAUGAAAAGGUGAGAGCACUUUGUGAGGCGUGGCUGAUACCAGCAUUGCCCACAAACCUCAUCACUGCCAAAGUAGUCAUGGAUCUGCCUGUGAUAUCCCCAAUGGGCUUUGUUACCAGGACCAGUCUCCAGCUGCUGUGUCUCUUAGAGACCAUCGCUGUCUGUUGGUGUGAUGGCUGUCUUAAACAGACAUUGUAUCUGACUCCUUGCAGCUUACCUCCUGGCCUAAUGAUAGGUAACAACAGAACAAUUCAUCCAGGAACAACUUGUUCUCUACCUGCUUGGAUGGGGAGAAAAGAGUUGGUGCUGGGGUACAGAACUUUCUAA
rnacentral:lncRNA from 1 species